AAAGUGCUGGAACUAUAUCACCACCGUCUCCUCAUUUAGUAAAGAUGGGAACUCAGUUACUAUUGUUUAGAAUUCCAACAUUUCCCAUAACAUUUGGCGUCACGAACAGGAUACGAACCUGUGCGGGGAAACCCCAUUGGAUUUCGAGCCAUCAUGUCUCCAGGCCUCCCACGUCCGAGUGGUGUGAGGCAAUAGUGACUACAGAGAUGCUGUGUACAGGCUCCUAGAAGUCCAGGGCGUUAGCCAGGUGGCUACAGAGGGGCUGGAUACAGACUCCUAGAAGUCCAGAAGGUUAGCCAGGUGGCUACAGAGAGGCUGGGUACAGGCUCCUGGAAGUCCAGGGCGUUAGCCAGGUGGCUACAGAGGGGCUGGAUACAGACUCCUAGAAGUCCAGAAGGUUAGCCAGUGGGCUACAGAGGGGCUGGAUACAGACUCCUAGAAGUCCAGAAGGUUAGCCAGUGGGCUAAAGAGAGGCUGGGUACAGACUCCUAGAAGUCCAGAAGGUUAGCCAGUGGGCUACAGAAAGGCUGGGUACAGACUCUUAGAAGUCUAGAAGGUUAGCCAGUGGACUACAGAGGGGCUGGGUACAGGCUCCUAGAAGUCCAGAAGGUUAGCCAGUGGGCUACAGAGGGGCUGGAUACAGACUCCUAGAAGUCCAGAAGGUUAGCCAGUGGGCUACAGAAAGGCUGGGUACAGACUCUUAGAAGUCUAGAAGGUUAGCCAGUGGGCUACAGAGGGGCUGGGUACAGGCUCCUGGAAGUCCAGAAGGUUAGCCAGUGGGCUACAGAGGGGCUGGGUACAGGCUCCUAGAAGUCCAGAAGGUUAGCCAGUGGGCUACAGAGGGACUGGGUACAGGCUCCUAGAAGUCCAGAAGGUUAGCCAGUGGGCUACAGAGGGGCUGGGUACAGACUCCUAGAAGUCCAGAAGGUUAGCCAGUGGGCUACAGAGGGGCUGGGUACAGGCUCCUAGAAGUCCAGAAGGUUAGCCAGUGGGCUACAGAGGGGCUGGGUACAGGCUCCUAGAAGUCCAGAAGGUUAGCCAGUGGGCUAAAGAGAGGCUGGGUACAGACUCCUAGAAGUCCAGAAGGUUAGCCAGUGGGCUACAGAAAGGCUGGGUACAGACUCUUAGAAGUCCAGAAGGUUAGCCAGUGGGCUACAGAGGGGCUGGGUACAGGCUCCUAGAAGUCCAGAAGGUUAGCCAGUGGGCUACAGAGGGGCUGGGUACAGGCUCCAAUAGAUCCAGGGCGUUAGCCAGGGGGGUACAGAGAUGCUGUGUACAGACUCCUAGAAGUCCAGGGUGUUAGUCGGGGGGCUACAGAGAGAGUGGGUACAGGCUCAUGUGUUGGUGACCUGGAUUAUACUCAGCUGCAUCCCAACUUAAAUGUUGGCCAUGUAGAGAACUACAAUAGCCGUGAUUCCAUCAAUGUUUUUGAUGCACAUUUUGAAUAGACUGGAGAAUUUCUUAGCCUCAUCCGUGAAAAAUAUAAAAUAAAAUCAUUAAAACUUUGCUGAAUAGAUUUAUAUGUGAGGCAUUUUGCAAAAAAAAAAAUUGACGUUUCUCAAAUUAAAUAUUUUGGGGAAGAUCUGAGCUGCAACAUGUUCAGUGUCCUUGAGACUAUUUAAAAUAAAGUGGAUUGGUGUUCUGUGAAGUAGACUUUCAUUUCUCUUUAAAUGAAAUACUGGACUGGUUAUAAACCAUCAGAACAAGAUAAGAACAAAGAGCUUUUUGGUGUGCAGAACCCUUUUACAUUAAUAAAUGUAGCUCUUAGUCAUUAGUUGACAUUUUGCAUGCUUUGUUUCAACAUCUGAACAUUGUGUCAGGGAUUAGAACUAAACCAGGGACAGCUGGUAAAGGUCUCUGAGCUGUUAAGUGUUUCUGGGAUUGUUUCAUCCUCCAAGCAGUUUGAAGGUUUCAUAAGGUAAUUUAAAAUGAAAACUGAAUGACGAUAAUAUCUUAAUAAAGGUAGGUUUGAUCUCUCAAUUUUUAAACUUUCAGAACCUGAAACAUUAAAGCUCCAACACGUUCAAAAUGCACGAUAAGCAUUUUUCACCUUAGAAACUGUAAUAUUCAGGUUUUAUAAUCAAAUAUGUCUAUAUAGUAAUUAUUGUGUAGGUAGGGGUUGUGAUUUUCAGGAGCUAGUGGGCUUUAACCCAUAAGAAGAGGACAGGAAAGUAGAAAAAGCAACAGGUUAACAGUUUAGAGCAGACAUGUCCAAAGUCAACCCUGAAGGGCUCAGAUCCUGCGUGUCCCAGUCAUUUACUGGGCUCAGGACACCUUAAUCAUGUCGUCUAGGUUAUUAUCAUGUCUUUGUUGGAUUUGAUGACAUACCGUAGUGUAGGGAUGGCCAAUUGUGGUAGUUUAUUGUUAUCUUAAAAGACAUUUAAGUACCCAAAUUUAGAUUUAUGCUCUGACAGUUUUCUCCAUAGUUUGUUGGGGCUUUAACUAUAAUGAACUGUUUUUUAAAAAUACAUUUAUCAUCACUUUUAUCAUUGUCACAAUAACUUAUCCUUAUCGCAAUAAAUACCAACCAGUAAUGAAGAUGUGUUGGAGCAGUGCAGGCUCUCGGGACUGGAGAUGGUCCACCCCUGCAUUAGUGGGGGACUGCACUCUAAUAUUGUAAUCUUUGUCACCUCCAGAUUGAUUUCACAAAGAUCUAUUAACUUAAAACCAGCUUUCAGCUCCGGCAUAGAACUAUUUGUGCACGAUUUAAACAAACUUCCUUUAGUUACAUAGACUGGAAACAAGCUGUGAGUGCUGAGGUCUGAACUCCAGGUCCUACUUAGAGAACUAGGUUGGGUAAAGCAUAGUUUGGGUUUGUGUUGAUGACACAAUUCAAGGAAGAGGUUUUCAGUCAAAGCUUCCUGUUUCUAGAUACUUGGUUAAUCCACCAGUCCAUUACAUUAUCCACCUGUACAUCUGAGUUUUAGCACACCUGGCAACUCCGUUAAUUUCAGAUUGAUAUGGCGCCAAUUUACACCUGCCGUCUCAAGGCACAUAAACAAAAUCAAAUUUAAAAAAGAGAUAUUACACGGUGUAAUUCUUUUAGUCAGAUUCAGAUACAUAUGCUCCAAUUUAGUUCCUGCCAGAAAACCUGCAGCCUGAGAGGACAAACUAUUGCAAUUGUAAAGAAAUGCUUGGACACAAUAUUUAGUCAGAUAUAGUUUAAA